GCAAACUUGGUCAUUUAGAGGAAGUACAAGUCGUAACAAGGUUUCCGUAGGUGAACCUGCGGAAGGAUCAUUAACGAAUCUAGUGUUGGUGGGUGGGACAGCACCACGUCAGUGGUGUGUCGUCAUGACACUGCGUCAGUGGUGUCGCCACCGCACAACAUAUGCGCUCCGGCCUUUGCGGGCCGGAUGCACACAUAUAUUCUUGUAUAUCUUUUUGUGACAUCAAACACAACAACAAAAGAACCACUUUUAACAAUGGAUCUCUAGGCUCUUGCAUCGAUGAAGAACGCAGC
rnacentral:misc_RNA from 1 species